GGGCACUUCUAGAAUUUCCUGUGAAUUAAAUGGUGUAAACCGAAUUUUAAACUCUUUAUCUAUAAAAGGAAAACCUAAGGUUUAUCCAAAAUCCCGGCUCAAAACUUUUCUUACCCAGCCCACUUCUACCCAUCACCACUUCCACCUAGGGCCCACCAACCGGUGUCUUUACAGGCAAAAAGGCCCACCCGGCCUCCUACUCUCCUCCCCUUCUUUUUACUGAUGAGCAGGGCCCACGGCCAGUGCCUCUCCUUGGGCCGAAAAGUGGCCCGCCAGCUCUCCCCUCCUUUUACGUCGCAUGGGCCAGCUGGGCCGGUGCCUUCCCCUGGCGCAUGGGCCUGCUGAACCGGCCCAAUGAGCGUCCAACUUUAACGGGCCUCCUCGCGACCGGCCUACCUUCCUCAUAGGCCAACGGCCCAACUUCC
rnacentral:lncRNA from 1 species